AAUAGGAGAAUGACAAAUCAGAUUUUUCCUCUUAAUUUUUAGCUUUUUCUUCUUGAAAAAAAUUAAAAUCCAACUAAAAAAGUUAAAAAUCAAGAGAAAAAAUCUGAUUUAUCAUUCUCUUAUC
rfam:Gossypium raimondii Chr02_contig_128, whole genome shotgun sequence.